GAUGAACGCUGGCGGCGUGCUUAACACAUGCAAGUCGAACGGGAAACCUUUUAAUGAAGCUUCGGCAGAUUUAGCUGGUUUCUAGUGGCGGACGGGUGAGUAACGCGUGGGUAACCUGCCUUAUACAGGGGGAUAACAGUCAGAAAUGACUGCUAAUACUGCAUAAGCGCACAGGACCGCAUGGUCCGGUGUGAAAAACUCCGGUGGUAUAAGAUGGACCCGCGUUGGAUUAGCUUGUUGGUGGGGUAACGGCUCACCAAGGCGACGAUCCAUAGCCGGCCUGAGAGGGUGAACGGCCACAUUGGGACUGAGACACGGCCCAGACUCCUACGGGAGGCAGCAGUGGGGAAUAUUGCACAAUGGGGGAAACCCUGAUGCAGCGACGCCGCGUGAAGGAAGAAGUAUCUCGGUAUGUAAACUUCUAUCAGCAGGGAAGAUAGUGACGGUACCUGACUAAGAAGCCCCGGCUAACUACGUG
rnacentral:rRNA from 1 species